UACGUAGGGUGCAAGCGUUAAUCGGAAUUACUGGGCGUAAAGCGUGCGCAGGCGGUUGUGCAAGACAGGUGUGAAAUCCCCGGGCUUAACCUGGGAAUGGCAUUUGGGACUGCAAGGCUGGAGUUUGGCAGAGGAGACUGGAAUUCCCGGUGUAGCAGUGAAAUGCGUAGAUAUCGGGAGGAAUACCGAUGGCGAAGGCAGGUCUCUGGGCUAUAACUGACGCUCAUGCACGAAAGCGUGGGGAGCAAACAGG
rnacentral:rRNA from 1 species